UCUGGUUUGGCUCAGUGGAUAGAGCGUCAGCCUGCGACUGAGGGGUCCCAGGUUCAAUUCCGGUCAAGGGCA